rnacentral:rRNA from 1 species
UACGUAGGGUGCAAGCGUUUGUCCGGAAUUAUUGGGCGUAAAGGGCUCGUAGGCGGUCCAUCGCGUCGGGAGUGAAAAGCUGGGGCUUAACCCCAGUCCUGCUUCCGAUACGGGUGGACUAGAGGUAGGUAGGGGAGAUCGGAAUUCCUGGUGUAGCGGUGAAAUGCGCAGAUAUCAGGAGGAACACCGGUGGCGAAGGCGGAUCUCUGGGCCGAUACUGACGCUGAGGAGCGAAAGCGUGGGGAGCGAACAGG